GGCUCAAUGGUCUAGUCGUAUGAUUCUUGCUUUGGGAUGACCAAAACUGCAAGAGGUCCCGGGUUCAAAUCCCGGUUGAGCCC